rnacentral:rRNA from 1 species
UACGGGGGGAGCAAGCGUUGUUCGGAUUUACUGGGCGUAAAGGGCGCGUAGGCGGCCACCGCAAGUCGACUGUGAAAUCUCCGGGCUUAACCCGGAAAGGUCAGCCGAUACUGCGGGGCUAGAGUGCAGAAGGGGCAACUGGAAUUCGUCGGUGGUAGCGGUGAAAUGCGUAGAUAUCGAGAGGAACACCUGCGGCGAAGGCGGGUUGCUGGGCUGACACGUGACGCUGAAGCGCGAAAGCUAGGGGAGCGAACGGG